AGCGAACGCUGGCGGCAGGCUUAACACAUGCAAGUCGAGCGGGCACUUUCGGGUGUCAGCGGCUGACGGGUUAGUAACGCGUGGGAACGUGCCCUCUGGUUCGGAAUAACUCAUGGAAACUUGAGCUAAUACCUGAUACUCCCUUUUGGUGAAAGGCUUGCUGCCGGAGGAUCGGCCCGCGUCUGAUUAGCUAGUUGGUGAGGUAACGGCUCACCCAGGCGACGAUCAGUAGCUUGUCUGAGAGGAUGAUCAGCCACACUGGGACUGAGACACGGCCCAGACUCCUACGGGAGGAAGCAGUGGGGAAGAAUGGAGAAUGGGCGCAAGACUGAUCCAGCCAUGCCGCGGGAGUGAUGAAGGCCUUAGGGUUGUAAAGCUCGUUUAUCAGGGAGGAUAAUGACGGGACCGGAGGAAUGAGCCACGGCCAACUUAGUG
rnacentral:rRNA from 1 species